AUGGAAAUGAUGAUUAUUUCCCCAGAUGAACGAAGUUGAAAUCGCUGAGCGUUUUUAUUUCUCAUUUUAUGAGAAGUCAAGCCAGAUUUCUGAUCCGU
rfam:Spinacia oleracea cultivar SynViroflay scaffold15378.1, whole genome shotgun sequence.